UUGAAAUCUCUCUAUCAUUCUCGACCCUUGUAACUUCUCUCUCUUUCUCUGUAAUUUGAGUUUCAGUUGAAAAUAAUUAUCCGCUUUCAUGUUACUCGGCAGAAUUAAGGCGACAGGUGCCUCACGUGUGCAAAAAACACCACUGCUUGUCGUGCGUCGUCUGCUGCGCAGCGAAGUUUCGCGUCGAGAGCGGGCGUGUUCGCGAUCGCAACGCCACCGCCAACACCGCCACCUCGGAGGCGAGUUUGCACGAGCUGAGCAGACGACGGGCAAAGAGGAGUUAGUCGCGGGGGAAACAUGGCGUCGGGAGCCGUUGUUGCUGUCGGGGAUUCUGAAAACGACAAGCAACGCGGCGGGUCUGGCGAAAAGUGCGGCUCGGACCCGGCCACGGAGGACUCUUCCGAAAGCGACGGCGACGCCCAGCCGACCAAGGCAUUCCACCGGCGGAUUUCCACCUCAAAAGCCAUCAAAAACGGGAAAAAUUGCGGCUGUGAAUGCGAGGUCGACAUAUCCAUUUCCAGCGGUGGGCGUUUCCUCCUCGGACCGGCCCGGCCGCAUCUGCCGGUAGCUCCGCGGCACGCGUCGCUGCUGUCGGUUGCUGAAUGAUUGCUGAAGGCGGCGGUUGUGCUUCACGCCUCCACGGCGCACGAGCAACGAAGUGCAAUUCGUUUUCUCUGGAGCAAGCGGCGAACGCCCAUCGAAAUGCACAGGGAAGCGCACCCCGCGUGUGGGGAAACUUCGAGGAGUGCGCGGUGGUGCGAGUUGGCAGGGAGACUUGCGCGACAAUGAGCGUUCGGGGAGGCCGCGUGCGUCGCUGACGACGACAUAUGGCGCAGGAGCACCUCAAUGUUUGUGCUGUGAUGGGACAAAUGUCUGAACUGGUGUGAGAACUAUGUGAAAAAAUAGUGUAAGGUUCGUAGAAUAGUACGUAUAUUUGUAAUUACCUAUAUGUAUUUUAUUUUGGCUAAUAAAAGAUAGGGGCAAAUACUUUCUGA